rfam:Hordeum vulgare subsp. vulgare, WGS project CAJW01000000 data, contig: morex_contig_2594301
AUUAUACUUCCUCCGUUCGGAAAUACUUGUCAUAGGGAUGGAUGUAUCUAGAUGUAUUUUAGUUCUAGGUACAUCCUUUUUUUAUCAAUUUGUGCGACAAAUAAUUCCAGACGGAGGGAGUACCAU